AUACGGAGGGUGCAAGCGUUAAUCGGAAUUACUGGGCGUAAAGCGCGCGUAGGCGGAUUGUUAAGUCUCAUGUGAAAGCCCUGGGCUCAACCUGGGAACUGCAUGGGAUACUGGCAGUCUCGAAUACAGUAGAGGGUAGUGGAAUUUCAGGUGUAGCGGUGAAAUGCGUAGAGAUCUGAAGGAACAUCAGUGGCGAAGGCGACUACCUGGACUGAUAUUGACGCUGAGGUGCGAAAGCGUGGGGAGCAAACAGGAUUAGAAACCCUAGUAGUCC
rnacentral:rRNA from 1 species